rnacentral:rRNA from 1 species
GACGAACCGUGCGAACGUUGUUCGGAAUCACUGGGCUUAAAGGGUGCGUAGGCGGGUUGUACAGUCUGGGGUGAAAUCCCACGGCUCAACCGUGGAACUGCCUCAGAUACUGACGACCUCGAGGGAGGUAGGGGCGAGCGGAACUGUGGGUGGAGCGGUGAAAUGAGUUGAUAUCCAUAGGAACUCCGGUGGCGAAGGCGGCUCGCUGGACCUCUUCUGACGCUGAGGCACGAAAGCUAGGGGAGCAAACGGG